CAGACCCGUGGGGUGUUGGGAAACCUGCGUGAGGCCAAGGACUUGAGUCAGACACUGGACGGGGACUCGUGAGACGGCAGCAUGGCAGGGACAUGCUGUGGGUUUUGAAUCAAACAGACCUGGUUUGAAGAACUGUCUCAGCUACUAGCUAGUUACCUCAGCCCUGGCAAACUCCUGCAGCUCCCAAAGCCUCUGUUUCCUCAACUGCAUAAUUCAGGAGAAACGUAGGAAAUGUCUCAGCUCACAGCAUCUGAGUCAGCGGGAGAUACUGGGUUUCAAGAAGGCCCGGGUUGCGAGAGCUGUGACGUGAGGCUGCCAGAAGCUUCCACCUGCUCCGACCUUUGCACUGGUUUGUGUGCCAGCUUUAUUCUCUCUCUCUCUGCAAACUGGCUUCUGCUGUGAUCAGCUGGGCUUCCGUCAGGGCAGCAAAACCAAGGACUUUGAUUCUGGAGCCGUUGCAUAACGUCACUUUCUAAGGGGGUCCAACCUCCCACCAUCAGUCUGCCUGGCUGACCUGCUCCUGUUUCCGAAGCAGCCCCGCAGGAGUCUGGUUCUCUGCUGCGGUGCUGGGUCUUCGAAGAGAAAGCAAGGGCAUCUUCCAUCGCCGGGUGUUGAUCGCCGCCAAGCAUCUUCUACCCAAACUCCAACUCAGCCAGCAGCGCUGGGCCUUCUCCUGGGCUUCUUCGUUUGCUCUUUCAUUCGGCAAAUCUUGAUCCAGCCCUGGCCACGUGCAGACACUGUUCUGAGCAAUUGAAAUUUGGCAGCAAACAAUGUGGGACUUAAAGACCUGUGGGGAGAGAGACUAGAAACAAGCAAAUAAACGAACAAGAUACUGUAAAUGCUGUGAGAAUGGGCAGGUAAUGGAUCAGAGAGUGACUUGGAGGUAACCACUCUGGAUGGAGGGAGCAUAUGGAAAAACUUCUCUGAAGAGGAGAUGUUUGAUCCGAGUGCUGAAGGUGGACAAGGAGCCAGCCAUGGGAAACGCUGUUCUAUCGGGUUAUUUUUGUCUAACUGCCCUGGACAUCUCACCAAAUGCUCCCAGGUCCCAAGUGGCCUCCCCUGUCCCCAGUCCUUACUACACUCCUCUGCCUGUGUUCAUGACCUCGGGGGACGCCACACCUGUCCACCAGGCACUCAGCCCAGAUCCUUGCAGUCCCCCUGCCCCCUCCCUGUCCCUCAUCACCAGGUCCUGCUGCCACCAAUCUUCUGGGGCGACCACACCCCCAAGCCAACCGCAGGCUGCCAGCACCUGUCAUCAGCUGUUGCAAUACUCACCUGACAGGUUGCCCUUCUCCAUCUUUCACUAUCCUUCUUGCUCUUCUUCUUUUUUUUUGACAAUGUUCUUUUUUUGUAUAUUAAAAAAAAUUUUUUUUUUUGGCUGCAUUGGGUCUUUGUUGCUGCACGCGGGCUUUCUCUAGUUGUGGCGAACAGGGGCUACUCUUCAAUGCGCUGCGCGGGCUUCUCACUACAGUGGCUUCUCUUUGCUGUGGAGCACGGGUUCUAGGUACAUGGGCUUCAGUAGUUGUGGCACACGGGCUCAGUAGUUGUGGCUCGUGGGCUCUAGAGCGCAGGCUUAGUAGUUGUGGUGAACAGGCUUAGUUGCUCCGCGUCAUGUGGGAUCUUCCCGGACCAGGGAUCGAACCCGUGUCCCCUGCAUUGGCAGGCGGAUUCUUAAUCACUGCGUCACCAGGGAAGUCCUGAGAUCAGUUAUUUAUUGCCAUAAUAAUGCUGCGUAACAAACAGCCAUAAAACUUCAGUGGUAUAUGAUCGGCAUUGGUGGUGUGUAUGAAUGGAGUCAGCUAGGGGACUGGGUGCUGUUAAUUUUUUUCUGGGCUUUGCUGGCAUGUCUGGAAGUUGGCUGACUGCCACCUAAUCUAAGCUGGCUUCCCCCAGGAUGCUGGAGUGACGCAGCUCUGUUCCACAUAUCUCUCAUUCUCCCUUAGACCAGCCUGGGUAUCUUCUUCUCCUGGUGAUGACAGAGGCAAAAGAACUCAAGUGGAAAUAUGCAAGGCCAGGGCUGAGAACUAGUAACCUUAGUCUGCUGGCCAAAGUAAGUCUUGUGGUCGAACCCGGGAUCCGAGCGGAGGGCACUACACAUCGAUGUGCAAAGCGAAUGUGUGCAGGAAGGGGUGAAGAGUCGGGGUGAUGUUUGUAACCUACACCAGGGAUGCCUAAGAUCAUGAGCACAUAGAAAAAUGAAGACUUUAAUGGUCCCUAUUCUUGGUGUGAGAGUGCUCAGCAAAUGUAAGCUAAUGUUAUAAUCCUUAUCAUGCCUGUGAAGUAUACGUUACAGACCCCAAUACCCGGUAAAGGGGGUCAAAGCUAGUGUUCUCACUGCUCCAGAUAAACUUGCAGGAACUCACGGACCUUCACUCUGUCAGCCUCACAGUUCCGAGCCCUCCCCUCCACUACCAACUGUGAACCCGCUUCAGAUGCAUCUCAUUUCUCCUCUGCUCUGGUUGGGGAGAUGCGCUAUUCAUCUCUGUGAGCGGGAGCUCCUGCCUGGUGCCCGUCGACGCACAACCCUUCCCAGAUUGCUCAGGGCCUCCAGUCACAACCUGUUCUCCAGUCGCAUUUGUUCUCCUUUUCAGUAUGGUCCUGACCUGCUCUUCUGACCUCAUCUCUUCUUUUUCUGCCAUUUUUACCCUGCGGUUCAGUCAGAUGGGAUCACUACCCCUCCCCUGCCACAUUUGCCAGGCCCCGUGCUCAAUGUCAGUCACGGGCUGGCUGCUGGUCUGCUCCAAAUCAUCUUCACUCUGGAACCCAGAUUCCCUCCCAGCCUCGGUGGAGGUGGGAAAAGAGCAGGGUGAGCUGUGCUUGCUCGUGAAACCUGGUCCCAGAAGGGACAUGCAUCACUUCUGCACUUACUUGAAUGCCCAGAGUCAACACAUCAACUUUUCUUAGGGAGGGGGCAGCAGUCUACUCCAGGUUCACAAUCCCUGAAACUCUUUGCUGGGAAAAAACAUUAAAUAGAUUGGAAAAUUUUGUUGCCAAGUGUUUUCAGGUUUACAGAUAUGAGGGUAUUUGCAGGUGACACCUUUACGUGGCUUUCAGCAGCAACAUUGCAUAACAAUAGAAAUGUUUCCAUACGUCUGUUUUCAAGAGAUUUUCAAAGCAUGAGGCUGGUUUUUAUUCGUUUGUCUUUUGAAAACUGUUACUUUCUCACUCAUGAUUAAAACCUUUUUUAUAUCAAAGAGACAGAUUGUGUUUUGGAAAUAAAUCCACUUCGAAAUGAGACCCAUUUUUAACUGCAGAGGAAAAAGUCAACACAUUUGAAACACCUAUCCUGUGUAAAAUAAAAAAAAUGUGCAGCUCAUCUUCAAGAAUCAUACUUUCAAGUACCUUACAUAAGAUAAGCAGAACAUUUCUGUGUGGUAUCAAAGCUUUCAAUAUAAAUAAUUCCCUAUCUUAUGAUUCCUAAAGAUUCAAUCGGAGAUGUUUAUUUUAUAAAACUCAUUAUAUUGACAAUAUCUUUCAAAUAAAGACUUUGAAAAUGAC